CUGGAUUUUGACAUUAAAAUUGGUGUACAAAAUAUUUUCUGCUUUUUCUUUCUUUUACAUAUAUCUUUUGGUUUUCAAUUCUAGUGUUUAUAUUUAUUUACCAUGCAUAGAUGUAUUUUGUCACCUGUCUGGAUUUUUUUAGUUGAUAUACAAAACCCGGGAUUACCCUUAUCCGCUUCCGAAAUCGGAUCCGAUAUUGUAAUUGUCUUCUCGCGGCAGCCAUUUUGUUUUCAAUGUUGUUUUUGACAUAUAGUGAAAUACGAUUUUACUCGGAUUUACACAUAAUAUUUCGGCGAUUUUCUGCAUAAAGCUAGCGGUUGAGCAAAUUGAACAUCGCUGUCAUGAAUAGUAAUGAUGAAAAUAAGUUUGAGAUCGUUUAUUAGGACACUUUGGUAAAAAUAUUUGCAAAGUUAAUUUUUUAUUUUCUUUCAAGGUCCGUCGGGCAUGUCGGGCGUAGCUAGUAACCAAGUAGAAAGUCCGACUGCAAAAGUGGAAGGUCGCAGACCUCGGACCACCGCUAAUUUGAACCCCUGCCUUCAAAUUAAAAAGAUACGAAAAUUUUGUCUUCUAAUUCAAAAUUGCCGCCAACAGCGUGAUCAGUUGAACUUAUAUUAAUAGACUACUGACGUAGUUGACUACGUAUUGACGACAAACAAUAUUCCUACGACUUUUGCAAUUUGGGAAAUCUUAACUACUUGUCUUAAGAGAUUUUCGGCGGUUAAAUAUUUCAUACAUUUGUUCUUUGACAUCUUAGCCAAAAGCUCAGGGGAGAAUAAACUACAUAAGGAUUCCUAAUGUGCUCUACUUCCUAUGUGCAACUUCAAAACUUUUGGGAAAAUCGACGAUCAUUUAAGGUUUUUCUGGUCAUAUUUUUUGUAAUUCAGAAUGAAAAGUAUGAAAAAACUGUCCAAUAAGUUAUAAAUAAUAUAGUAGCCAGCUAGAUGAUAACAAUGG
rnacentral:lncRNA from 1 species